UAAUCUGGCACCUUCGGUGUCCGAGUUGUAAUCUCUAGAAAUGUUUUCCGCGUUGGACCGCACACAAGUCUGUUGGAAUACAGCGGCAUAGUGGUGAGACCCCCGUAUAUGGUGCGGACGCCCAGCGCUUUGUGAUACAUUUUCGAAGAGUCGAGUUGUUUGGGAAUGCAGCUCAAAUUGGGUGGUAAAUUCCAUCUAAAGCUAAAUAUUGGCGAGAGACCGAUAGCGAACAAGUACCGUGAGGGAAAGAUGAAAAGCACUUUGGAAAGAGAGUUAACAGUACGUGAAAUUGUUGGAAGGGAAACGCUUGAAGUCAGACUUGCUUGCCGAGCAAUCGGUUUGCAGGCCAGCAUCAGUUUUCCGGGAUGGAUAAUGGUAGAGAGAAGGUAGCAGUUUCGGCUGUGUUAUAGCUCUCUGCUGGAUACAUCUUGGGGGACUGAGGAACGCAGUGUGCCUUUGGCGGGGGUUUCGACCUCUUCACACUUAGGAUGCUGGUGGAAUGGCUUUAAACGACCCGUCUUGAAACACG
rnacentral:rRNA from 1 species